rnacentral:rRNA from 1 species
UGAUCUGCCUACCAUGGUGAUCACGGGUAACGGGGAAUCAGGGUUCGAUUCCGGAGAGGGAGCCUGAGAAACGGCUACCACAUCCAAGGAAGGCAGCAGGCGCGAAAAUUACCCACUCCCGGCACGGGGAGGUAGUGACGAAAAAUACGAAUACGGGACUCAAUCGAGGCUCCGUAAUUCGAAUGAGUGCAAUCUAAAUCCUUGAACGAGGACCAAUUGGAGGGCAAGUCUGGUGCCAGCAGCCGCGGUAACUCCAGCUCCAAAAGCGUAUAUUAAAGUUGCUGCAGUUAAAAAGCUCGUAGUUGGAUCUGGGUCGUGCGUUCACAUGUCGUUGUUUGGUUCUGGCUUCGGUCAGUUUCGAACGAUGAUGAGGUGGUCGCGCAGCCUUUCAGCCGUGUCUGCGUGAGCAGGUGUUGGCUGGCCGGUGGGCUUGCUUGCUGGCCAGUUGGCAUGUUUCCUGAUGCCUUUAAACGGGUGUCGGGGGCGUACGGCACUUUUACUUUGAACAAAUUUGAGUGCUCAAAGCAGGCCCAUGUGCCUGAAAAGUCUUGCAUGGAAUAAUGGAAUAGGACUUCGGUUCUAUUUUGUUGGUUUCCGGAUCCGAAGUAAUGGUUAAGAGGAACAGACGGGGGCAUUUGUAUGGUGGCGUGAGAGGUGAAAUUCUAUGAUCGUCGCCAGACAAACUACAGCGAAAGCAUUUGCCAAGAAUGUUUUCAUUGAUCAGGAGCGAAAGUCAGAGUUUCGAAGACGAUCAGAUACCGUCCUAGUUCUGACCAUAAACGAUGCCAACUGACG